GAUCAACGCUGGCGGCGUGCCUAAUACAUGCAAGUCGAGCGAACGGACGAGAAGCUUGCUUCUCUGAUGUUAGCGGCGGACGGGUGAGUAACACGUGGAUAACCUACCUAUAAGACUGGGAUAACUUCGGGAAACCGGAGCUAAUACCGGAUAAUAUUUUGAACCGCAUGGUUCAAAAGUGAAAGACGGUCUUGCUGUCACUUAUAGAUGGAUCCGCGCUGCAUUAGCUAGUUGGUAAGGUAACGGCUUACCAAGGCAACGAUGCAUAGCCGACCUGAGAGGGUGAUCGGCCACACUGGAACUGAGACACGGCCCAGACUCCUACGGGAGGCAGCAGUAGGGAAUCUUCCGCAAUGGGCGAAAGCCUGACGGAGCAACGCCGCGUGAGUGAUGAAGGUCUUCGGAUCGUAAAACUCUGUUAUUAGGGAAGAACAUAUGUGUAAGUAACUGUGCACAUCUUGACGGUACCUAAUCAGAAAGCCACGGCUAACUACGUG
rnacentral:rRNA from 1 species